AUGGCUCCGAGAGUCCCUGCCCUGUGGGCGCAGGGCUGGAGCUGCCGCCUCCGCUUCAGACAGCUGUGUGGCUGCUGCCGCCCACAGGGCCGAGCGGGGAACGGCCCCGGUUACCUCACACAAAGGGAGACGGAGCUCACGAGCCUCCGGCUGCUUUCUUUCCUACAGGCUGUCGGUGCUGCCUGCUUUCUCCACGAGACACAGCUCAGCCUUUCCCUCCCAUUUCUCCCUCCCAGGAGGGAAGGCAAGAUGAUGAUGACAACGCAUCCUCAGCUGAUGGAUGAGAUAGAUGCUGAGACAGUGAUUUUGGCUGCAAAGGAGACUUUGCAGGUAUCUUGCACUUCACUCACCAGCCUCCCUCCGUGAAAGGAAGGACCAAAAGCUUCCAGUGAUAUGACCUUUUUCCCUGGGACCUGUGCUGAAGCGAUGGCUGGGAAGUCCCCCUCUUCCUGCCCUCACCAGGUCUGUAAAUCAGCCUGGGUUUGGUUCUUUGCUGUGUCCUUCACCACACAUCCUCUCCCCCCAUGCGUAAAGCAGCACGAUUGGGCUGUGUUGACUUCUCAGAGUUUCAGAGGGAAGAAAGUAAACAUGAGGGUGCUUAGCGGGGGAUUUUGUCAGAGGUUAUGUUAGCUAGAUUUCCAAAUCCUCCAGAGUUGGAAGGGAUUUUUGGAAGGGGCUUAAUUCCUUCUAAAAAUCCCAUCCUUACCUAAUAAGUGCUAGUUAGCAAACAAUACUAUAGACUUGAUAGUACUUUAUGUGAUGAAUGAUCAGGGGCUUAUUAUUAGAGUCUAGGACUAAUCUCUUCACCAUGUUUAUGCACCUUAGCUCCUCUUACAUUCUGGGGUACUCUUCUUGCCGUAACAAUGCUAACAGAUUUUUUUAACGAUAAUAAAGUUGAUUCAUAUCCUGGGAAAAAUGCA
rnacentral:lncRNA from 1 species